rnacentral:rRNA from 1 species
AACGAACGCUGGCGGCAUGCCUAACACAUGCAAGUCGAACGAGACCUUCGGGUCUAGUGGCGCACGGGUGCGUAACGCGUGGGAACCUGCCCUUAGGUUCGGAAUAACUCCCCGAAAGGGGUGCUAAUACCGGAUAAUGUCUUCGGACCAAAGAUUUAUCGCCUUUGGAUGGGCCCGCGUUGGAUUAGCUAGUUGGUAGGGUAAAAGCCUACCAAGGCGACGAUCCAUAGCUGGUCUGAAAGGAUGAUCAGCCACACUGGGACUGAGACACGGCCCAGACUGCUACGGGAGGCAGCAGUGGGGAAUAUUGGACAAUGGGCGAAAGCCUGAUCCAGCAAUGCCGCGUGAGUGAUGAAGGCCUUAGGGUUGUAAAGCUCUUUUACCCGGGAUGAUAAUGACAGUACCGGGAGUAUAAGCUCCGGCUAACUCCGUG